UACGUUUUUAUCACCGCAAUAUCUACAUAAUAUGUUGUUCAGUUUGGCGUUUUAGUUUUUAAGAAAAUCACAAGAAUUGUUCAGCAACUAUAUGUCAGUCUUAUUGAAUUAUUAUGCAUACUUAUAAACUUACCGUGGUUUUCAAUUAAUUUCAACAAAGAUCCGACCUUAAGGUAUUUUUUGCUUCUACUAUUUUACUAUUGAUCAAAUGACAACUAUACAAUAAUCAAUAAAGUAUAUAUGGCACGCAAUUAUACCGGUCGACAAAGGGACUAUAAUAUAAUAAAUUUGGUCGGCAGUUGUUUUGGUGAUGUGGACAUCAGACACGAACGAUAUUGUAUAGAAGGCAUCUUUAAAAAAGGUGAACAGUGACAGUGACGAUAACAAAUUAGAACAAAAAACAACGGAAUGGUAUUUUGGGGUCAUUCGUAUCAAUAUCCACAACCAAUAAUAAUAUCAUGUACAAGUUCAUUCAAGUAGAAAAAACGUGCCUGUCUUUUCAUUCCAGCCAUUGCCCAUUAGAUACGAUGAAAAACAUGUCUUCACAAUAACUUGUAUGUACAAUGUGAUAAUCUAUGAUGGAUAAUACACAAGAUCUGGAACUACAGCGCCGGGCGCGUUCAGGUACAAGAAGUUUCGUCGUCGUCGAUCACUAGGACACGCGGACCAGAUGAUAUAAACUUAAUACCAUUUCUUCAAUUAACAUUCGACUCGAUGAACUGCACAUUUGUUUUAUUAAAAGUUAAAGCAAAUAAUUGUUCAAACAUCUCUGCAUAA